UGGGGAAUUUUGGACAAUGGGCGAAAGCCUGAUCCAGCCAUGCCGCGUGUGGGAAGAAGGCCUUCGGGUUGUAAACCACUUUUGUCAGGGAAGAAACGGCUUUCACUAAUAUUGAAGGCUAAUGACGGUACCUGAAGAAUAAGCACCGGCUAACUACGUGCCAGCAGCCGCGGUAAUACGUAGGGUGCAAGCGUUAAUCGGAAUUACUGGGCGUAAAGCGUGCGCAGGCGGCUAUGCAAGACAGAUGUGAAAUCCCCGGGCUUAACCUAGGAACUGCAUUUGUGACUGCAUGGCUAGAGUACGGUAGAGGGGGAUGGAAUUCCGCGUGUAGCAGUGAAAUGCGUAGAUAUGCGGAGGAACACCGAUGGCGAAGGCAAUCCCCUGGACCUGUACUGACGCUCAGGCACGAAAGCGUGGGGAGCAAACAG
rnacentral:rRNA from 1 species